GUCCAAGAGCAGGUCAUAAGAAGCUGAGAUGGCUCCUAAAGGGAGAAUUUUCCUCAGCUUUUCACUCUAUGAAGAAAACAAUGACAAUCAGACAAUGAUGCAAUCCAUGUCCCCUUCUUCAAGCUCCAGAAGUUGCACAUCCAGAUUACCGAUUGUUCUUUAUGACAAUGAGUUUGUACAUUUGGUGUGUAACAAUCUAAACCUAUUAGGUGUAUAAUUCGGGUGCACAAAUUCUUGACAUUCCUUGUGCUUCAUCAGACAUUCGCUUCUGAAACUUUGGGAGAUACAUUUGCCGAGGACCUUACCUUUUUUUACUUUGGAUUAUUCUUGUACUUGUGAUUGAGCAUGAGCUCAUUAAUUAUUCAUGUAUUUCUUCGGUGAUGAUGAUGAUACUAUUUGGAUGAUGCUAAAGUGUU